rnacentral:lncRNA from 1 species
AGAAAUAAAGCCACAGUGAAGCAAGGGGAUCUAGGGUGCAUUUAUCUAACAGGACACCAGAAAAGUUUGCUCACACUCAAGUCCAGGCUUCAGAAGCCCCCUGCUCAGUGCAGAUCUGCAGUUUGAGAUGAUCAACUCUUCUGACGCAAUGGCUCCAUCCAGAGGGGGUGCAGGCAGUGGUGAGGUAACAGGGAAACACCUGUCUCUCUGCACGGAUUUUCCAACCUGAGCCAAGAAGCACCUUAUGCAGCCGCAAUCCCUCAGUCAAGGCAAAGUGCGAGUCAUCACAGGCAAAAAGCAGCUUCAGAUAUUGCACAACUGACAGAUGGCUGCUGUUUGCAACCCUGCUGGUGUCACAGAAGAGGAAAAAGAGCAAACGCAGCUCAUGUUUCUUAGGGACAUGAUGGAAUACUGCUCAGACAUCAGAGUCCAGGAGUCCAAAGCAGUCUGCUGGUUCAGUUCCAGCAGCCAAUUUCAUGGUGUCUCCUCCCUACGAAGCAGAGAGGAAUGGACAGAUGGACAGGCACUGCCCAGGAAGGGGAGUGCAUAUUUUUUUUAGAGAAACAGUAAAAAUAAAUUGAAGAAGUGCGCUAAAAAUAUUUUACAAAGACUUUACAAAGUGAGCAAAGUGUAAAAAAAUGAGCUUAUCUGAUCUCCAAGAUAAUAAGAGACGGC